CCCCCCCCACCCUCCCCCGAUCUCACUAUUCUGUCGGCAUUGUCACAUUCCUGCAGUGUUGUCUGUCAGGUACUCCUUAAGGAGUUUGGAUAUGAACAUAACUCCACAUGAAUGCCAAUUUUGCUCUAUAUGCUGCCGAUAUAAAAUAAGCAGCUGUUUGUUAACUUACAAGGUUGAUCAAGUUCAAAAGUCACAGGGUUUUCAGCAAACAAAGACCAUGAAAUGAACUGUGGAUGGUCUUAAAGACAUCAAAGCAUGUUAUAAUGCACCUUUCAACAUGGGUUCAAUGUCUGUAGACGUAAUAAAACUCUGCUCUUUGAGGACUUGGCAGCACUAUCAGCUUUCUUAUCAUUCUCCCUGUUGGCAGAAUAAAUCAAAUUGUUACGAAACAGGAUUUGGCGUGUGGCUCAGGGAUGACCAGAAAUAAAUGUCUGAGUCUGAAGAUGAUUGUUGAAAUAAAAAGUGAUGAAUUGAAA